AAUAUAUUUUGAAUUUGAUGGUUUGCAGCACUUAAAAUUAUCAUUGUAACUCAAGCGUCUAUAGAUAAGAUGGUAAAAAGUUUUUUUAUUUUAAUUAAGGUCUCGAGUUUUAAUCUUAGAUAUACAGUCAUGUUAAAACUCAGAUAGUGCUUUGCCAUCCGUAAAAAGUCUUGUCCGAUACGCUCUAAAUUAACUCUAGAUAUAUGUACAUUAAAAAAAUUAUCCAUUGCAAACUGUCAUCGCCGGGGACGUUGAAAUAACUGACAAGAUUCUUGGAAUGAGCCUUCCUAAGAUGGAUUGGUCAAGUACAAUAAACUAUGUACUUUUUGUUAGGGUCUCCAAAAUGACAUUGUCCUUGAAGAACUAUGUGGAAGUUGACAGCAAAACAUGUUUCCGAGGCUAAACUGAAGUGCUGGUUUUUGAUGUUUAUGCAAGUAAUGCAAGAAUGUAUGAGAAAUUAAAAUUAGGUAUCCACAUGCACCCAUCUUGCAGACCUGACUUUCUUUGUGUGUGUUGGAUUCCAAUGUCCAAUUCUUGAAAUCAACUUUUGAAUGGUAGUUGGGGCUAAAAACUUGAAACUAAGGGUGUUCCAUAAUAUUCAAGCAUAUAAAACCAUUAAAUCUCAUAUCUACCUUUCUUUGGAGAGAGGUACUUUCACCAGGCAGAAGUAUUUUUCAUUCAUCUUAAGUUCCCCAAUGGAUCCUCCUCCACCCUCAACCGCACCACUGCUUCCCCCCGCUCCGCCGGAUGGAGGAUUCUUGGAUUCUUGUUUGUGGUUUCUGUGCUGCUGUGGUCUGUUUACAAGCUGCUGUCCUCCGUUAUUUGAACCUGGGCCUCCUCUCUAAAGCUGCAUUUCUGGUUUAACUUCCAUUUCUUGGAAUAUAUUUGUGUAUGUAGAAUGAAAAGACAGUGGAUAAUUGAUUGACACUUUUUCUUCUGAUUCUGAAUCUGUUUGGUUCAAUCUAAUCACGAAUUACAUUUCUGCAA